UCUGUCCCUAGAGGCAUUGUUGGUGUGGCUGCCGUAUCACAUGUACAUCAGUGGGUGGCAAAGAGAAGAAAGGCUGCAUCUAAGUUUAGUGUUCUGACCUAUGUACACCUGAAUGAUAAGUAGCUUAACAUU